AUUGAGGGCUGGAAUGAAGGGUUGGACGAAGUAUUAACUUUCUUUAAUUUAAUUGUAAGAAUUUAAUCUUUGAGUUAAAAAGCUUAGAUUUAUUUAUUGGACGAGAAGACCCUAUAGAUCUUUAUAAUUUUAUNNNUUGGUAAUUUAGUGAUUUUUUUAUUUGAAGUAAAUGAAUUAUUUUGUUGGGGUGACUGUAGAAUUUGAAUAACUUCUAUUUAUUUAUUUCAUUUAUUAGUGUUUUUAUGAUCCACAAGUUGUGAUUAUAAGAUUAAGUUACCUUAGGGAUAACAGCGUAAUUCUUUCGGAGAGUUCAUAUUGAUGAAGGAGUUUGCGACCUCGAUGUUGGAUUAAAAUAAGUUAUGGAUGCAGUAGUCUAUAAACUAGGUCUGUUCGACCUUUAAAUUUUUACAUGAUCUGAGUUCAAACCGGAGA
rnacentral:rRNA from 1 species